UACAGAGGUCCCGAGCGUUGUUCGGAUUCAUUGGGCGUAAAGGGUGCGUAGGCGGCGCGGUAAGUCGGGUGUGAAAUCUCGGAGCUUAACUCCGAAACUGCAUUCGAUACUGCCGUGCUUGAGGACUGGAGAGGAGACUGGAAUUUACGGUGUAGCGGUGAAAUGCGUAGAUAUCGUAAGGAAGACCAGUGGCGAAGGCGGGUCUCUGGACAGUUCCUGACGCUGAGGCGCGAAGGUCAGGGGAGCAAACGGG
rnacentral:rRNA from 1 species